rnacentral:rRNA from 1 species
GACGAACUUUGGCGGCGUGCUUAACACAUGCAAGUCGAACGGAAAGGCCCUGCUUUUGUGGGGUGCUCGAGUGGCGAACGGGUGAGUAACACGUGAGUAACCUGCCCUUGACUUUGGGAUAACUUCAGGAAACUGGGGCUAAUACCGGAUAGGAGCUCCUGCUGCAUGGUGGGGGUUGGAAGGUUUCGGCUGUUGGGGAUGGACUCGCGGCUUAUCAGCUUGUUGGUGGGGUAGUGGCUUACCAAGGCUUUGACGGGUAGCCGGCCUGAGAGGGUGACCGGCCACAUUGGGACUGAGAUACGGCCCAGACUCCUACGGGAGGCAGCAGUGGGGAAUAUUGCACAAUGGGCGGAAGCCUGAUGCAGCAACGCCGCGUGCGGGAUGACGGCCUUCGGGUUGUAAACCGCUUUCGCCUGUGACGAAGCGUGAGUGACGGUAAUGGGUAAAGAAGCACCGGCUAACUACGUGCCAGCAGCCGCGGUGAUACGUAGGGUGCGAGCGUUGUCCGGAUUUAUUGGGCGUAAAGGGCUCGUAGGUGGUUGAUCGCGUCGGAAGUGUAAUCUUGGGGCUUAACCCUGAGCGUGCUUUCGAUACGGGUUGACUUGAGGAAGGUAGGGGAGAAUGGAAUUCCUGGUGGAGCGGUGGAAUGCGCAGAUAUCAGGAGGAACACCAGUGGCGAAGGCGGUUCUCUGGGCCUUUCCUGACGCUGAGGAGCGAAAGCGUGGGGAGCGAACAGGCUUAGAUACCCUGGUAGUCCACGCUGUAAACGGUGGGUACUAGGUGUGGGGUCCAUUCCACGGGUUCCGUGCCGUAGCUAACGCUUUAAGUACCCCGCCUGGGGAGUACGGCCGCAAGGCUAAAACUCAAAGGAAUUGACGGGGCCCCGCGCAAGCGGCGGAGCAUGCGGAUUAAUUCGAUGCAACGCGUAGAACCUUACCUGGGUUUGACAUGGAUCGGGAGUGCUCAGAGAUGGGUGUGCCUCUUUUGGGGUCGGUUCACAGGUGGUGCAUGCCUGUCGUCAGCUCGUGUCGUGAGAUGUUGGGUUAAGUCCCGCAACGAGCGCAACCCUUGUUCACUGUUGCCAGCACGUUAUGGUGGGGACUCAGUGGAGACCGCCGGGGUCAACUCGGAGGAAGGUGGGGAUGACGUCAAGUCCUCAUGCCCCUUAUGUCCAGGGCUUCACGCAUGCUACAAUGGCUGGUACAGAGAGUGGCGAGCCUGUGAGGGUGAGCGAAUCUCGGAAAGCCGGUCUCAGUUCGGAUUGGGGUCUGCAACUCGACCUCAUGAAGUCGGAGUCGCUAGUAGUCGCAAAUCAGCAACGCUGCGGUGAAUACGUUCCCGGGGCC